rnacentral:lncRNA from 1 species
AUGAGGCAGGACUUGAGGCCAUGCCUUGGCCUGCCGGAAGCACGUCUGAGCCCUCCUGUUCCCAGGGAUCGUGAGGAACACGCCUUCCUGAGCUGCUACAAUUCCUGCCUGACCUCACUCCUUCGCAGUUGUCAUCUGUCCUUGGCAUGGGUGCUGACCUCACUCACCCUUGGGGUCCAGGGUCCAGCAUUGGGGCCCUCUGUGCCCCAGGGUCCUCCACGCCACACGGUCACUGCUCUCCUCAGGGACCAGGACAAGGUGCUGCCCUGUGGGAUACGUACAGGGUACUCAGAAGGGAAUGAUGCGGACAGUAAUGGCAAGAAAAAUAAAGGAAUCCCAAGAAAGGCAAGGUCUUCAGAGACUCUGCUUGGAGAGAAGUUAUGCUUCAGCCUUCCAGGAGUUCUAGAGCAGAGGCACCCAACCCCUGGACCUCAGACUGGUACAGCCCACAGCCUGUUAGGAACCAGACCACACGGCAGGUGAUCUGGAGGUGAGCAACAGGUGAGUGAGUGAAGCUUCAUCUGCUGCUCCCCAUGGCUCCCCACUGGUCACAUUACUGCCUGAAUCAGGCACCCCCUCCCAGCCCCUAGUCCAUAGGUUGGGGACCGCUGUUCUAGAGGAUUCCACUCCAGAUAAAUAAGAAAUGUGGUCUGAACUUCAGCUAAAUGCACAAAGCUUUCAGAUCAGCCCACCCUUGUAUCAGGGAUUGGAAAUGAAGGGAAA